rnacentral:lncRNA from 1 species
GCGUGUCGCUCGGUCUGAAUUGCACCGUAAUCGCCAAAACCUUGGCCUAAUUUGCAGCUAAUAGAUCUCGAGCGAGGGAGUCGGGAAGAAACCAGUGGCUUUGGAGGGAUCGGAAAUUAAGGGACUAGAAGAAGGAUGUGAUUCCUAUUAUUCUCCCCCUCCCCCUCCUGCACACGACCAUGUGUCUCCUGGCUGGGCCUUUGGGGACGCGGCCCCUGGCCCUCCGUGGCCUGUGUUCCUGUUGUUCGCUUCUCUCCCAGCGGACCACUGUGUCUGGGGCGCCGCGCCCUCCGGUGCGCUCAGACCUCGCGCCCUCCGACCGGCUUCUCCCAGUCCCCGGGAGGAGGCGCUGUGCCCGGGCUGGCCUCUGGUCCCUCCCAGCCGAUGUCCUGGAGCCCCCAUUCACAAAACCCCUCCUGGAAGAGGACACACACCCACCCACCCACACACACACACACACACCCCACACACGCACUACGAGAAGGGGAGUUUGAUCUUGUCUCAUUGGCGUCUCGGGUCUGAAAGGAAAAUCGUUUGGGUAAACAGCCAAGCUUCCAGGCUUAACGCCCGGCUCCCGCCCCCGCCCCUCCAUCCCCUCCUGCCUCCCCCACUCGCCUUCAACCCCACCCGCCACCCACACUCGGCUCCGCAGCCGGGCCCCGAGCGAGCUCCGCGAGUCCUGGCGAGAGCCGAGGGCUCCCCGGGUUCAAAGGGCCGCAGCCCCGAGGGAACGCCCUCCUUGCUGUGCCCCGGGGGGCAGAAGCGGACUGCUGGGCGGUGGGACCGGCCUGGGCCACGCUCCGCGCCCCUCCCAGCCUUCCCGCCCUUAGCCGGGAAAGGACGCUGAGAUGACAUCACCACAGAGACCCGCGGCCUCCCCGCCCCCGGCCCCGGGACCCCGGAGCGGAGAUUGACAGGUGUCGCUCGUUAGGACAAUGCCUUCCAGGCUUAGUAAUUCUGACUUUUGAAAUCUCCUGUCGUGAACAAAUCUACACUGCACUUUAUUUCUUGCCCCGUCCUGGAAUUCAGCCACUCCUGCACUACAUUUCUUAAGGUGAAGAAGUGAAAGACGAAGACACCAAUCCAAGUGAACGUGUGUUAUUCUCUUCUAUAAUGCUAUUGUAUUAUAUUCCCUCUUUUUUUUAAAUUCUCUUGAUUUCUCUGCACAAAAGAGGGAAAUUCUUCCAAAGCAACGGAAAGUUUCCUUGAAAUACUUUUAUCUAGUCACACUUACAUAGUGUAAUGUCUCUCUCUUACAGCAUUGUACAGUUUGGGAUUUGUUUUUAAUCCUGUGGAAAAUGUCCUAACAGGGCUUUGGUGUAUCUUUGUUCCAAUUUCUACAUUGCUUGGGGAGGGGGAGAAGCUUUCUUUGUAUUAAAUGAAAUACACCACUACUUCAUUAAAUAAAUAGACACCUCAACCAUUAGUUGCUAAUGAAACAAAAAUCUAAGUAAAACAUCUAACUAUCCAAAUACUACAUUUUCUCUACCUUUGCCCCAAAAUGUGCCUCAUCUCCCUGCACCUCCAAAUAAUAUUUCUAGUGUUUUCAUUUUAUUAGUUUUGCAAUGUCACUGUCCAGAUAGAAUUAUUCGAUGACUUAAAACAACUUUCGUAAGAUUUUCAAGCCCUAAAUUAAAAAAUCAUAUUUCAAUACAACAGAUCUUGUCAUUUAUUUAUUGGGAUGUGUGUGAGAGGGACCUGCUGCUUCGUGCUCGUCCAGUACAUUGGCUUUGAAAUAUACUUGAAUUUGUGGAGGCAGGGUGUAGAAUGACAAAAACAAACAAAAACCCCACAAUACAGACCAAAUUGGGGUACACACGGACAGAUUGGUUUUAAUUUUAUUUUAAUUUUUGAGUUUCUAUGAGAAGAAGAAUGAGGAGAGACAAAAAAGGGGAAGAGUGAGAGAUAGUAUAUUUAGGGUAUGACAAAUUGGGAAUGGCUCUGCAGUGAUCUUUUUCUUUUUCUUAUUUAUUUUUUGUUUUUUUUGGUUUUUUUUUGAGACACAGUCUCGCUCUGUCACCCAAGCUGGAGGGCAGUGAUCCUGGCUCACCGCAACCUCUGCCUCCCGGGUUCAAGCGAUUCUCUUGCCUCAGCCUCCCAAGUAGCUGGGACUACAGGUGCGUGCCACCAUGCCCGGCUAUUUAUUUAUUUAUUUACUUUCAUUUUUAUUUUUAGUAAAGAUAGGGUUUGGCCGUGAUGUCUGGGCUGGUCUCAAACUCCUGAUCUCAGGUAAUCCACCUGCCUCGGCCUCCCAAAGUGCUGGGAUUACAGGCUUGAGCCACCACUGCGCCCCACUCUGAUCUCUUUUUCUGCCCUUCUUCUCUACCUUCUUCCUUCCCUUCCUUCCUCUUUUCCUGCCUUCCUCCUUCCCUCCCUCUCUUCCUUCUUUUUUUCACUGUCAUCAAAGGUUAUUGAGCCCCUCCCAAGUGUAAAUAUUGUGCUAGGCACCAGGGUACAGUGAAAAGAUAGAUAUGAUCCCUGGACUUGCAGAGCAGAACCAGGCAGCCAAAAGCAUGUGUGUUAGGAGUCAUCCAGGGGGAGCCAUAGAUGCAUGGGCAAGGAGCACGUGCGGCUGUGAGGGUUUCCUGUGGGAAAUGAUGCUAAAGACAGUGUGUGAAAGAUGGAUGGAAGUGGCCAGGGGAAGGAAUUAUUAGGGGAAGUUAAAGAAAUCAUCCCCAAACCAGAAGGUGCUCACCACAGAGGAGCUGAAGGAAGUCCCGCAGGGCCGAUGGGCAGGGCUCCAGGUGGAAAGUUCUCCAGCAAGGCUAUCCAGGCUUGGAGUGCUGGUCAUUACUUUGAAAACAAAACUAAUGCCAGAACUCAGAAACCUAGUUGGGGGAGAGAGGGUGUUCUUUUUCCUAAAUCUAGCGAAGAUUAGGUACAAUUGGAAUCAUUAUAAUAAAAUUAUCUGACAUAGCUACAGAACUCCAAAGAGGAGAAAGUUAGAAAUUUGAGAAUCUACUAAAUGUCUGCAUCCCUGUCCCCUCUCCCUAAAUGAGGACGUGAACAUGUGACAUGGGCAUUCCAGUGGGAUGAGCUGAGUGCACUGGAGGCUACUGGGGUUGUGAAUUGGCAAAGAGGCUGACCAGGUGCAGGGAGAUUUGUUUUCAAGGGCUCUCCUCUCAGCAUUAGGGACAUACAACAGGGAUAACAUAGAAAACACUUUUUCAGGUACUUGAUACUUUAAAUUUAAUUUUAAUUAAAAUAACUGUUUCUAGAGACAGGGUCUUACUCUGUCACCCAGGCUGGAGUACAGUGACACAAUCACAGCUCACCGCAGCCUUAAACUCCUGGGCUCAAGUGAUCCUCCCAAGUAGCCUGGACUACAGGCAUGCACCACCACACCCAGCUAAUUUUUAUUUUUUAUUUUUGCAGGUAGGGGUUGCCCAGGCUGGCCUCAUACUCCUGUCCUCAAGCUGUCCACCCAUUUUGGUCUCCCAAAGUGCUGGGAUUAUAGGCGUGAGCCACUGCGCCCAGCCUUAAUACUUUUAAACUUUCUCUCGAUCUCUCUCUCGCUUUCUCAUUUGGUAGCCAAAGCCAUAAAAGUCAUAAAAAUUAAGCAAUUUGAGAUUUCCCACCCAGGGGAAGGGUCACUCUGUUGACAAUGAGAGGAAAUUAAAGGUUGGGGUCAUGUUCUCUUUGCCCAUCCUUCUAUUAAUGCAGAAAGAUAAUUGCAUGGCUCUGAUUGCAUGGAGAGAUAAACGCCCAAUCCCCCUCCACUCUUCCUUCGCCACGUCUCCAGGACUGACAGCAGACCAAGGGACAUUUGGCUUCAAGUGGGGAAGAAAAUUUGCUGGAAAAGGCCUCCUCAGAGCUGGGCAUAGCUCUGUCUGAUGGAGGCCUGACUUGCUUCUAAAAAGAGUGUGGUCUGGAUCCAUCCCCUUUUCCCAAAUCAUUUUAAAUCUUGCUGAAUCAGUUCAAUUUGAAGUCUAAUCAACUAUCUGCUUAUCUCUCUUAGUUGAGCCUUCAAUGUCUUUUUCUGUUUGGACUAACAAAGUGAAAUGGUUAGAAGGACUAUCAAGCAUACAGAUUUUCUUUUGCAAAAGUAGGGAUAUAUUCUGGGGCUUAGUUGAGGGAGUCAGUGUAGGCUCCUCAAGCCAUCAUCCAGUUUCUGACUUUAGCACUUUUUUUUUUUUUUUUUUUGUAGAAUUUCACUCUUGUUGCCCAGGCUGGAAUGCAAUGGCACAAUCUCAGCUCACUGCAACCUCCACCUCCCAGGUUCAAGUGAUUCUCCUGCCUCAGCCUCCCAAGUAGCUGGAAUUACAGGCAUGUGCCACCAUGCCUGGCUAAUUUUUUGUAUUUAGUAGAGAUGGGUUUUCACCAUGUUGGUCAGGCUGGUCUCAGGGUCAGGAUGAUAUGUGUUAAUUCAGAUUCAAAGAGGCACAUCUUUUAUUUUGAAGUGAACUUUACAUAACAGCAACUUGAACUGGACAGCAAUGCUUGUGGAAUCACCCUGGGCAGGUAAUGCGCUUAUCAGGCCUGGACACCACCAUAUUCCUCUGUAUCCCUACAUAUUCCCCAGAACCCCUUUUGGCGUCUUUUGCAGAGAAAGUUCUCAAAACUGAAUUAAGUGGCUGAUCCAGCACAGCGGAGGGCAUCUAAGGAUGCCAGAAUACCCAGCCCCAGUGUCCAUGUCUGAACCUUGCCUCUAAUCCCUUUCCUAGUUCCAGUUUCAGAUAGAAAAACAUUCCAUAACAGGGGUCGUCAAUUUGGAAUAGCAAUGAUGACAACAAUAAUGUAAUAAUGACCUAGACUGAGCACUCACUAUGCAUUAGACUGUGCUAAGCAUUAUUAUUGUAUAUAAUCCUUACAGAAUCUGGAGGCAAAAUGUUCCUAUUUCACAUUUCUUAUUUCUAUUUCACAACAAGGAAACUGAGCCUUAGGGAAGAACUGUUCAGUCACAGAGUUAGAGAAAGGUGAACCCCAGACCCCACGUCGAGUUAGUCUGAUUCUGGGGACUGUGUCGUUAGUCAUUACCCAGACUCAGAAGCCUGAACCUUAAGGCACAGAAGGUUCUAGAGACGAAGAGAAAUUUUUCUGGGCUGUAUUACACUCAAAGCAAAUUUAGGGUGAGAGGCCUGUCCAAGGGAUUGAUUAUUUUCUUGUUUCCUUUGUUCUUCCUUUCCUUUGUGUCACAACUCUUUAUUGAAUUGUGCCAGGAAUUAUGACAGACACCUGAGUGGGGUAAGGAGGCUAAAGAAGAAAGACUCUGCUCAUUCGGAUCCCCUGCCCUCUUUCCAUUCUUCUUCCCACGGGACUAAUGAUCUGAACAAUCCUAAAACCUGGCUGUAGUCAUGUCUUUGGGGGACUCCUGCAGACCCCUGUCUCCUACAGUUCAACUUCUCAAGCCUACUUUGUAAUUCCUAGGCAGAAUUCGGAGCUCUGCUGUCAUCUUUUAGUCUUUCACUUAUUCAAAAUAUUUUGAUCCAAAUAUGCCCUUGGUGCCACACUUUAUUAAUGCAGAUAUAACUCAUACUAGUGAGUGUCUGUUUUGGAGCCACUUGCCCUGCAUAAGUUAUUGGGUUUCACUGUUUAUCUUAGUUAAAAAAAAAGUUCCAUAUGCUCUGACCUGCUGACACCUAAGCCCUGCCUGUGCAGUUAAAACAGGAAAACUAGUUAUUUGAUAUCAUGAAGGCAAUUCAGCUGGUGGACAAACUCAAAUGUUUCCAUUUCCGAUGGAUUGUAAGGAACCAUAGAUUAUUCAUCAGGGAUGCUCAGGAGAAAAAUUGUUUCUUUUGUUUACUUGUUAAUUUCCAAAAUGAACCCAAUACAAAGAUGAUACAGCCAUGGUGCAUUUAUUUUUCAUUGUUAGCAUCUAUCAUUAUGUCAUUGCAUAAGAACUGCUCAAAUAAAUUGUUUUAAAAUCACGUGGAUGGCUUUAUGUCCUUUCUCCCACCUGCCUGCAGAGUUGCCUGAAAAAAGAAAAACAUGAGCGUCAGCCAGGCCACUGGGGUGAGGAGGCUGUUCACCGUGGGGGGGUGCCAGGCUAGCCUGGGU